GAUGAACGCUGGCGGCGUGCCUAAUACAUGCAAGUCGAGCGGUAAGGCUCCUUCGGAGUACACGAGCGGCGGACGGCUGAGUAACGCGUAGGAACGUACCCCAAACUGAGGGAUAACUGCUCGAAAGAGUAGCUAAUACCGCAUGUGCUCUACGGAGUAAAGCUACGGCGGUUUGGGAACGGCCUGCGUACGAUUAGAUUGUUGGUGAGGUAAUGGCUCACCAAGUCGACGAUCGUUAGCUGGUCUGAGAGGAUGAUCAGCCAGACUGGGACUGAGAACGGCCCAGACUCCUACGGGAGGCAGCAGUAGGGAAUUUUCCACAAUGGACGAAAGUCUGAUGGAGCAACGCCGCGUGCAGGAUGAAUGCCUUCGGGUUGUAAACUGCUUUUAUCUGUGACGAAUAUGACGGUAGCAGAUGAAUAAGGAUCGGCUAACUCCGUG
rnacentral:rRNA from 1 species